rnacentral:rRNA from 1 species
GAUGAACGCUGGCGGCGUGCCUAAUACAUGCAAGUCGAGCGAACGGACGAGAAGCUUGCUUCUCUGAUGUUAGCGGCGGACGGGUGAGUAACACGUGGAUAACCUACCUAUAAGACUGGGAUAACUUCGGGAAACCGGAGCUAAUACCGGAUAAUAUUUUGAACCGCAUGGUUCAAAAGUGAAAGACGGUCUUGCCGUCACUUAUAGAUGGAUCCGCGCUGCAUUAGCUAGUUGGUAAGGUAACGGCUUACCAAGGCAACGAUGCAUAGCCGACCUGAGAGGGUGAACGGCCACACUGGAACUGAGACACGGUCCAGACUCCUACGGGAGGCAGCAGUAGGGAAUCUUCCGCAAUGGGCGAAAGCCUGACGGAGCAACGCCGCGUGAGUGAUGAAGGUCUUCGGAUCGUAAAACUCUGUUAUUAGGGAAGAACAUAUGUGUAAGUAACUGUGCACAUCUUGACGGUACCUAAUCAGAAAGCCACGGCUAACUACGUG